rnacentral:SRP_RNA from 1 species
GCCGGGCGUGGUGGCGUGUGCCUGUAAUCCCAGCUACUCGGGGGGCUGGGGCAGGAGAAUUGCUUGAACCCGGGAGGCAUAGGUUGCAGUGAGCUAACAUAGUGCAAUUGCACCCCAGCCUGGGUGACAGAGCAAGACUCUGUCUCAA